rnacentral:rRNA from 1 species
AUUGAACGCUGGCGGCAUGCUUUACACAUGCCAGUCGAACGGUAACAGCACUUCGGUGGCUGACGAGUGGCGAACGGGUGAGUAAUACAUCGGAACGUGCCUAGUGGUGGGGGAUAACUACUCGAAAGAGUAGCUAAUACCGCAUGAGAUCUAAGGAUGAAAGCAGGGGACCUUCGGGCCUUGCGCUACUAGAGCGGCUGAUGGCAGAUUAGGUAGUUGGUGGGAUAAAAGCUUACCAAGCCGACGAUCUGUAGCUGGUCUGAGAGGACGACCAGCCACACUGGGACUGAGACACGGCCCAGACUCCUACGGGAGGCAGCAGUGGGGAAUUUUGGACAAUGGGCGCAAGCCUGAUCCAGCAAUGCCGCGUGCAGGAUGAAGGCCUUCGGGUUGUAAACUGCUUUUGUACGGAACGAAAAGCCCUCUUCUAAUACAGGAGGGUCAUGACGGUACCGUAAGAAUAAGCACCGGCUAACUACGUG